AUUCACAGUGUUCAAUGUAAUGGGAUGUAUGGACUCGUAAAUGAUCAGGUAGUCGAUAACAACAGAAGUCAACAAGGUAAAUGUUGUUUGAUCUAAUUAUAUAAACCAGUAGUGUAAUAAGGGCCAUAAUGGGACCACACAUCAUGUACACACAAUUUUUGGGGUGAGGUUUCAUACGACAUACACAUGAUUUCCUCUCUUCUUAUUUUAUUUUGGAAGUUGUGGGUGUAGGGGAGGGUUAUUCUGGUUGUUUUUGGAAGUUGUAGAUGUGAUUAUUAGCCUCUUGAGCUUUGUUUAUUUUUGGGUUUGCAGUGGAGUUAUUUGGGGCUCUUAGAGGCCGACUAUAUAACAGCAACAAAAAUUUGAUCAUGGCUACUUUGUCUACUAUUAGUGGUAUUGCAUCUACAAUGGGCUCACUGCACUUUAAAUCAUAUUGUUGUGCAAUGCUUGGGAUUCAGUCUCAGAGAAACACAAUUAUCUGUGUCAUUCAAAAUAUCAAUAGGUUAGCUACUUAAUAUCAUUAGUGAAUCCUAAAAAAUUGUUCUUGCUUUAUAGAGCUAUUUUGAGAAGGCAUUUGAAUUUUUCAAGAAAGCAGUAGAUGAGGUACGUCUUUUUCUUAGUUAUUUUUUAAAUUUGUAAUAAAUUAACUCUUGUUUAUCAUUAUGCGUUAGAGCCUAACUGAACUUUACGGUUUAUACGUUACUCUUCUAGAGUCUAGGGAAUGAGCUAUAUUUGAAGUCCUUGGAAGCCACUGCCAAGGUAUUGUUGUCAGUCCUUUGGCCUAUUCUAUACUCAUUUUUGUUAUAUUUGGUUUGUUCCCUAUGGAAAUUGGAGGUCCAUCUAAUUUGAUGUUAUGGAGUCUUGAUGUGUUGGAAUAUGACUCCGGGGUUGGGUAUACAUAACCGAGAUAUAGUAGCUUUUUCAUAACUUUUACACUCCAGGUAGAGCAAGGUUGGUGUGCAAGUAAUUUUCAAUCAUGGAAAGGAUGAAGGUUUUGCGGAUAAGAGAGGGGGCUCGAAAAAGGGGAUUAUGAGUGCUGACUUUCCAUAUGGUUUGACUCACAUUGGCUACUUCAUAUUGAUUAAAAUAGGUAGCAAAUUUGAAAUCAUGUUGAGGUUAAAUCCUUGAGUUUCACUAGCUUAGUUCAGGUUAAAUGUUCUGGGUGAUAUUAGGUGGCCAAAGUUACCGCUGUCACUUGUUAUUGAUGUAAUGAAAAUCAAUUCGAGGAACCAAUUUGUGGAAAUAUUUUACUUGACAACUGAGAGGCAAAGCUAUUAGCUUGUAUGUCAGCUGAGAGGCAAAGCUAGAUCAUAAUCUCUAAUUAAUUGGUGCACUCUUUAUUAUUCUUGAGAAAUAGAAGCACUGGCAUGGUGAGUAUCCUGAUAAACACCUAUGGGUUUAAAAUUCUGUAGAGAACUACUAAUCUAAUUUGAGCUAUGGUUGCACCUCAAAUCAGAUGACUACACCUGAUUGCCAAUACAUGCUCUUAUAAAUGUUGAGUAAUUAAAUAAAACAUAUGCGGCAGCUUGCUUCUUUACUGACAAGAACAAAUAACCACAAGACACAGAGCCGUCCAACAUCAGCUCCCAAAUUACUGCUUUGUUUUACAAAACUGACCUGCUUUUUACGUGGUUAACAUAUGAGAUGUGAAAUAUGUGUUAACAUUUUACGUGUUAACAUAUAUUUCACAUCAGUAUAGCAGUAUAGCAGGUUAGGGAUAUGUGUUAUAUUUCAUAUUUCAUGUACAACCAACAUAUAUUUCACAUCAGUACACCAUCUUGCUCCUUAAAUAUGUGUUAACAUUUUACGUGGUUAGGAAUUAUGUUAAAAGUCAUUCAUGUGAUUGGUCAGUUAUCUUGCCAUACAUCAGUAUAGCAGGUCAGAUUUGGUAUCCUUGUGAUUUGGUAUCUUUGUUGAAUACUAAAUUUGUUGUUCUUUUAUUUCAGUGGGAUAAGGCAUGUGGAUUAACGUACACACAAGAACAAAUUGACGAAGUACGGGAUGAGUGGGCAAUAUACAUGAGCAGCUAUACGUAGAGCCUCGAGUUAACGGUGAAUAUGUUAGAUGAAU
rnacentral:lncRNA from 1 species